rnacentral:lncRNA from 1 species
GAAACUUCUAACAGAGACAAGUCUACUUGUCUUUGCUUCAAAUUACUAAAACGGGUAUGUAUAUGGUGAGCAGCUUUUGAUGUAUGAUGACAAAUUGCUUGGAUUUGAGUGAAAUUUUGUCUAUUUAAAGUCGGCUCCGUUGUUUUCUGCGAACAGUUGAGUGAAAGAGCUUUCUGAGAAGUUUUUUUAGGCGGGCUGGCAUUUGAUAAACAGUGCAACUUUAAACUUCAGGGUUUAUAAUCCCCGAAAAAAUCAGCUUUUACUUAGAUUUGAGUGAAAUAUUGUCCAUUUGAAGCUCGAUGUCUUGGUCACACCCAGUAGAAGUGAAAUAGAAAUGUUUUAAAGGCGUUUGAAAUUUUAUAGAAAUAUGUACUAAUCCUUACUCGAAAUAAUGUUAUCGAUUAAACACCAAUACCAACAUAAUGUAAUCAAUAAGUUACACAUAUCUUUGAUCUGGAUUCAACCUCCUUUAUGUGGUUGAGUUCUUCGAACUCUUCGAGUUGGUCUAUAAAUAGUUCUUUAUAUUCUUAUGUUAUUAGUAGAAUAAGUAACGGUUAAAUGAGUUUUAAGGGUCUUUUCUCUCGUGCUCCCUUUUUCGAACUGUUUCUCCCUUCAGAUUCAGUGUGAGUUUUCGAGUAGCGGACUCCUAGGUUCGACAUUUCAUUUUCUGCGAGGUUCUAGCACUUAAAAGGUCACGCUCGCCGAGUAUGUUGGUGAAUGCUUUUUGGAACAUGGAGAAGUGGCGCUCUUUGCGGCCGUAUGGGAGUCUUCUUAGCUUCGCCUUAAUCGCUUGAAGAACUUACCGGCGUACUUGUAGCUAUCAGAAACAAGUAAUAAUUCCUUUUCGCUGGUAGCUACGCUGCCGCCGGCAUCGCUCCCCGGAUUUAAGGCUACUAGGCCCUCUCACUAACGACAAAGUGAUGACUCCCCCAGAGAGGGAAAAAGUUGAUCCUUC